UACGGAGGGUGCAAGCGUUGUUCGGAAUCAUUGGGCGUAAAGGGCGCGUAGGCGGUCCGCUAAGUCUGAUGUGAAAGCCCGGGGCUCACCCCCGGAAGGGCAUUGGAAACUGGCGGACUCGAGUCCCGGAGAGGAAGGUGGAAUUCCUGGUGUAGCGGUGAAAUGCGUAGAUAUCAGGAGGAAUACCGGUGGCGAAGGCGGCCUUCUGGACGGUGACUGACGCUGAGACGCGAAAGCGUGGGGAGCAAACGGG
rnacentral:rRNA from 1 species